UACGUAGGGGCCGAGCGUUGUCCGGAGUUAUUGGGCGUAAAGAGCGUGUAGGCGGCCAGACAGGUCCGGUUGUGAAAACUAGAGGCUUAACCUCUAGACGUCGAUGGAAACCGUCUGGCUAGAGUCCGGAAGAGGAGAAUGGAAUUCCUGGUGUAGCGGUGAAAUGCGCAGAUAUCAGGAAGAACACCCGUGGCUAAGGCGGUUCUCUAGUACGGUACUGACGCUGAGACGCGAAAGCGUGGGGAGCGAACAGG
rnacentral:rRNA from 1 species